AUUAACGCUGGCGGCGUGCAUGAGACAUGCAAGUCGAACGGACGGGCGAGCUUGCUCGCCCGUUAGUGGCGGACGGCUGAGUAACGCGUGGGUGACCUGCCCCGAAGUGGGGAAUAACUGCCCGAAAGGGUGGCUAAUACCGCAUGUGGCGACUGGUUCGUUCCAGUCUCCAAAGCCGCGAGGCGCUUCGGGAGGGGCCUGCGUCCGAUUAGCUCGUUGGUGGGGUAACGGCUCACCAAGGCGACGAUCGGUAGGUG
rnacentral:rRNA from 1 species